UUGUCGCAUAUAGUGCAAUAUUUUGGAACGGUAAGUUGUCCAAUUUCCCUCGAUGACCACUUGAAUUUCAGCUCCAUGCCACCUAUCAUCAUUUAUCCUUUUUUCAUGCAAAUGAACAUGAGGAAUGUUCCGAUGAAUAUCUAUAUCCAGCCUGCAGAAUGAAAUGUAGUUUUGGCUCUUCAUUGAUGAUGAGAUCUCAAUAGGAAGUCCAGUACUCAUUUUGGACCAUAUCAAUGCCAUUUUUGCACCAAGACCAAACUUCCCACGUGUCUGCUUGAGACCAUAUUUUGUCCCAGACAGGACCCGUCCAAACAUAUUCGGGAUGUCAUCAUGUGGCAUUCCUUUUCCAUUAUCCUUGCA
rnacentral:misc_RNA from 1 species